UGUAUGUAGUGCACUAGGACUCGGGUUUGGAAUUCAGCCUUCAGAGCUCAAACGGCAACAAAGGACGUUGUCAUAGCAACCACGCGCGUUCUACAGCCUGCUUUGUAAACAAACGCCGAAGAAGCUGGUGAGAGUUCUCCCAAGGUUCUUCAUCAUCAUCAUCAUCAGCACCAACAUGCCGCUCCUGAUCAGUGAUCACACCUGGACCCAGACCGAGAGCACGGUGUGUGUCCGCGUGCCGUUAAAAGCCGUUAAACCGGGGAAAGUGGACGUUACGUGCACGGAGGAGUAUCUGAAGGUCAGUUUCCCUCCGUUUCUGUUCGAGGCCUUCUUCUUCGCGCCGAUAGACGAAGAGAAAAGCGUGGCGAAAAUCGGAAACGGCGUCGCGCUUUUCACACUGCCCAAAAAGACAGCAGGCCUCUGGGAGCGGCUCAGUGUAAACAUCGGGAAAGACAAACAGAAAGAGAUUCGAGAAGGAGCCGUCAUCAAGAGCCAGAAGAAGGCGAUGGAGAAAGAGGAAGAGAAAGUCCUGAGGAUUCAUCAGGAGAGGAAGUACACACUGGAGACCAUGAUGAAGAUCGAGGAAGAGGAGCGAGCGAGAAUCCAGAGGAUGAAGGACGAAGAGUGUGCGAGAGCCUUAAAGGAGCUGGAGUCCUGGAAAGAGAAGCAGAAGGAAGCGGAAGAGGAAGAAGAGGCUCGACGAAGGCUACAGGAAGCAGCCGAGCAGGAGACGAAGCAAGUUCAUCAGCGCAGAAAGCCUGAGAAGGUUAUAGCACCUGUACGAAACCCGAGCAGAGCUGAAGGUGAGAUGAGCAGUGGGAAAAAGUCCAGACAGGUGGAUCUUCCUGCUCCGAGAUCAACAAGCUGCGUGAAGGUCAGCUUCACCCCCCGGGUCUUGCCCACGCCCUCACGAGAGUCUUACGUCCAACAGGAAGAAGAGUGGCUCAGGCAGCAGGCCGAGGCGAGACGGGCGGUGAACGCUGAUCUGGCUGAGCUGGAUGAUCUGACGGAGGAGGAGAGAAACCCUGACUGGCUCAAGGAUAAAGGAGAUAAAUUCUUCGCCGCUGGGAACUACCAGGCCGCGGUCAACGCCUACGACCUGGCCAUCAAACUCAACCGCCGGAUUCCUGCUCUGUUCUCCAACCGAGCAGCUUGUCAUCUGAAGCUGAGAAACCUGCACAAAGCCAUCUGGGACAGUUCUCAGGCUCUGGAGCUGCUCACGCCAGCCGUCUCUGCUAACGCUGCAGCCCGGAUGAAGGCCCACGUGAGGAGAGGAACCGCUUUCUGUCAGCUCGAGCUCUAUGUAGAAGGUACAGUUUACAACAGAACACAGAGCCACGUGAACAUUCAUAAGCCUGUGGAACUCUUCUGCUGAGGCUGGAUGAUGGACAUCUCCUGACAUGACCAGUGAUCUGAAGCAUGAACGUUACGUUCAACGUAAUGGAGUGCUGGUUUAGUGUGAUAAGCUGAGAUUCAGUGCAGUUCAGUGUUGUUCAAGCCACGCCUCCUUCACUAGGACUGACAGACACAAAGGCCAUGCCUCCUUCUCUAAAACUAGCAGGCUCCAAGGCCACGCCUCCUUUUCUCAAUCUAGCAGGCUCAAAGGCCACGCCUCCUUUUCUCAAUCUAGCAGGCUCAAAGGCCACACCUCCUUUUUCUAAAUCUGGCAGGCUCAAAGGCCACGCCUCCUUCUCUAAAUCUAGAAGGCUCAAAGGCCACGCCACCUUCACUAGGACUGACAGACACAAAGGCCACGCCUCCUUCACUAGGACUGACAGACAAAAAUGCCACGCCUCCUUCUCUAACACUAACAGGCUCAAAGGCCACGCCUCCUUCACAAACAGACAAAGGACAUGCCUCAGCACGUCAGGCUCAAAGACCACACAUCCUCCACUAGGACAGACAGACACAGAGGCCACGCCUAUUUCACUAGGACUGACACAAAUGCCACGCCCACUUCACUAGGACAGACAGACACAAACACCACGCCUCCUUCACUUGGCCUGACAGGCACAAAGGCCACGUCUCCUCUAAAACUAACAGGCUCAUAGACCAUGCCUCCUUCAUUAUGACAGACAGACACAAGGGCCACGCCUUCUUCACUCUUUUGUGACACAGCCAGGCCUGCCAUGAUGGCUGUACUGCAGUCAUGAAUUCUGUGUUUUCAGGCUGUUGUACUGUGAAAGGCUAAGCUUACUCAAUUACUCCUAGAACCAUGGGCGGUGUUCAGGAUCGUGUUAACGUUACUGAUGAAAGCCUGAAAGUUGUGAACCCUCUUUCCUCCUCAUUACUCCUUUAAUACUGUAUAAUUCGAGCAUGCUCCUUAGGAUCAGAUUUAAACCCUUCGAUCACAACAGUCUGAGUGCUUUUCCGUUUCAUCCACAGGGCUUCAGGACUACCAGGCUGCUCUCAGGAUCGAUCCACACAACCAGGCUCUGCAGGCAGACACGGAGAAGAUCCGGGAGAUCGUUCAAGGCACCAGACCGAGCUCAAAAUGACUAGGGAAAAGUCCGUUCCGAUGCUUACCGAGUCCUAAACAUGAGUGAUGGCGUGUUUUAUCUUUUAUAAUACCGGCAGUGUUCCCUUUCAAAGGGGUCUUCACGUUGCGUUUAGCAUAACACUAUGGGAGCACCUCUCGCGCUUGACUGGUAUCUGAAGCUUGUGUAAAAUCAUGCCUAUUUAUAGGCCUGCCGUGAUCAAGCGACGAGGCAAUUACGCGCGUCUCGUGAUAUAAAUAUGGCGCCUGUGAACCGCGCCGUCAGCCUCUAUUAUCUUAAGCGAAAGACUGCAUGUCGUUUGUCUGUGUAAAGAAACAAAAAGACGCUUCAUUUCCUGUCUAUCUCUUCUCAAAAUCUCAGAACUUUUCUAUCCCUUUAAAAAAAAAAGAAAAGGAAUGAGCGAGAGAGAAAAAUAUGAGUCAGAGAAUUCACGUGGGUUACGGCUUGCUCACGUUUCAUCACGGGGAAUAGUGCACAUAUAUGUAUGUAUAUAUAUAAUCUUUGUUAAAUAUAGGUGUGCAACAAUAUAUACAUAUUGAUAAACCUGUGUUGUGUUUGGAAUUGUUUGAUAUCCAUGACAGCAGAGUAUUUUUGUGAAUUUUUCUAACAAAAGAUCCAAAGGUUCAACAAUAAAGACAAUUUUUCACAGCC